rnacentral:rRNA from 1 species
CCUACGGGUGGCAGCAGUCGGGAAUUUUGGGCAAUGGGCGAAAGCCUGACCCAGCAACGCCGCGUGAAGGAUGAAAUCCCUCGGGAUGUAAACUUCGCAAGAACGGGAAGAAUAAGCCUGUGCCAACACCACAGGCGAUGACGGUACCGUUUGUAAGCUCCGGCUAACUCCGUGCCAGCAGCCGCGGUAAUACGGGGGGAGCAAGCGUUGUUCGGAUUUACUGGGCGUAAAGGGCGCGUAGGCGGCCAUCGCAAGUCAGUUGUGAAAUCUCCGGGCUUAACUCGGAAAGGUCAACUGAUACUGCGAGGCUAGAGUGCAGAAGGGGCAACUGGAAUUCUCGGUGUAGCGGUGAAAUGCGUAGAUAUCGAGAGGAACACCGGUGGCGAAGGCGGGUUGCUGGGCUGACACUGACGCUGAGGCGCGAAAGCUAGGGGAGCGA